ensembl:snRNA Gm23573 predicted gene, 23573
GCGCUUGCUUCAGCAGUACGUAUACUAAACUUGGAAUGCUACAGAAAAGAUUACCAUGGAUCCUGUGCAGGGUUGACACACAAAUCUGUGAAGAGUUCCAUAUUUUUU